rnacentral:rRNA from 1 species
GCUCAUUACAACAGCUAUUAUAUACUUGCAUGUUGAUAUCCUACGUGGAUAACUGUGGUAAUUCUAGAGCUAAUACAUGCACCAAAGCUCCGAUUUUUUGACGAGCGCAUCUAUUAGAUUAAAACCAAUCGGGUUUCGGCCCGUCAAUUGGUGACUCUGAAUAACUAUGGCUGAUCGCAUGGUCUUGAACCGGCGACGUGUCUAUCAAGUGUCUGCCUUAUCAACUGUCGAUGGUAGUUUAUGUGCCUACCAUGGUUGUAACGGGUAACGGAGAAUAAGGGUUCGACUCCGGAGAGGGAGCCUGAGAAACGGCUACCACAUCCAAGGAAGGCAGCAGGCGCGCAAAUUACCCACUCUCGGCAUGAGGAGGUAGUGACGAAAAAUAACGAGACCGUUCUCUCUGAGGCCGGUUAUCGGAAUGGGUACAAUUUAAACCCGUUAACGAGGAUCUAUGAGAGGGCAAGUCUGGUGCCAGCAGCCGCGGUAAUUCCAGCUCUCAAAGUGUAUAUCGUCAUUGCUGCGGUUAAAAAGCUCGUAGUUGGAUCUGCGCCUCAGGACUUGGUCCGCCCACUGGGCGAGAACUGGGCUCCCUGGGCUAGUACUGCUGGG